CAGGAAGGAACAUUCAUGAGCUUCCAUCCACGGAACCUCACCAUGGAUACGCUUGUGAUCAAGGGCCUGGUCUCCCCUCAAGACACGGUCACAGAUCAGAGGCCACACCAUCCUAGCAGUGGAGCAGGACCAGCUGGGACAGGGUCCUUCUGUGACACCUGCUGCAUCACCAGGCUGGGUGAACGGACACAAUUGCCAGAACUCACAGAAUAGAAGUAUCAGCACCGAAACCUCACAGGAAAAAUGAAGACAUUUUCUUUCUCUUCUGAGUAACUGAAAUAAAAUCUGGCCUUUGUGAAACCCUGGAAAUACCACGACCCUCAACUAGAAACACCAAUACCAGCUCCUCUGCGAGUUUCCAGCUCCACAACCUAAGACAUCAGAGGCAGCAUUGGCUCCUCACGUAGAGUCCAGCUCCGGGACCCUCAUAUUUGAACCGCAGGACCAUCUCACCCCUGGAUCUCCAGCUGCACCACACUCAAAUUAGAACAACAUCAGCUCCUCCCCAGGUCUCCACCUGCACAGCCCUCGAACGGGAACGUCAGCUCCUCCCCGGGUCUCCAGCUGCAGGGCCCUAAAACUAGAACAUCAGCUCCCGCCUGGGUCGCCAGCAGCACCACCCUCAAACUGGAACAUCAGAUCCCCAUGGGUCUCCAGCUGCAGAGCCCUGAAACUGGAACAUCAGCUCCCCACCAGAUCUCCAGCUGCAUGGACCUCAAACUGGAACAUCAGCUCCCCGCCGGGUCUCCAGCUGCACUGCCUGCAAACUGGAACAUGAGCUCCCCGCCGGGUCUCCAGCUGCAUGGCCCUCAAACUGGAACAUCAGCUCCCCACCAGAUCGCCAGCUGCACGGCCCUCAAACUGGAAUAUCAGCUCCACCCCGGGGCUCCAGGUGCACAGCCCUCAACCUGCAACAUCAGCGCCCCACUGGGUCUCCAGAUGCACGGCCCUCAAACUGGAACAUCAGCUCCCUGCCAGGUCUCCAGCUGCACAGCCCUCAAACUGGAAUAUCAGCUCCACCCCAGGGCUCCAGAUGCACGGCCCUCAAACUGCAACAUCAGUUCCCCCCCGGGUCUCCAGCUUCACGGCCCUCAAACUGGAACAUCAGCUCCCCACCAGAUCUCCAGAUGCAUGGCCCUCAAACUGGAACAUCGGCUCCCCACCGGGUCUCCAGCUGCAUGGCCUUAAACUGGAACAUCAGCUCCCAGGCCCUCAAACAGGAACAUCAGCUCCCCACAGGGUCUCCAGCUGCACGGCCCUCAAAUUGCAACAUCAGUUCCCCCCGGGUCUCCAGCUGCACCGCUUCAAACUGCAACAUCAGUUCCCCCGGGUCUCCAGCUGCACCGCUUCAAACUGCAACAUCAGCUCCCCGCUGGGUCUCCAGCAGCAAGGCCCUCAACCUGGAACAUUAGCUCCCCCGAACCUGGGUCUCCAGCUCCACAGCCCUCAACCUGGAACAUCAGCUCCCCGCAGGGUCUCCAGCUGCACGGCCCUCAAACUGGAACAUCAGCUCCCCACCGGGUCUCCAGUUGCACGGCCCUCAAACUGGAACAUCAGCUCCCCACCAGGUCUCCAGCUGCAUGGCCCUCACACUGGAACAUCAGCUCCCCACCAGAUCUCCAGCUGCACGGCUCUCAAACAGGAACAUCAGCUCCCCGCAGGGUCUCCAGCUGCACGGCCCUCAAACUGGAACAUCAGCUCCCCACAGGGUCUCCAGAUGCACGGCCCUCAAACUGCAACAUCAGUUCCCCCCUGGGUCUCCAGCUACACCGCGUCAACCUGGAACUUCAGCUCCCCCCCGGGUCUCCAGCUCCACGGCCCUCAACCUGCA
rnacentral:lncRNA from 1 species